UGGGGAAUCGUCUAAUGGUAGGACGCCGGACUCUGACUCCGUCUGUCUAGGUUCGAAUCCUAGUUCCCCAGCCA
rnacentral:tRNA from 1 species